AGUGAACGCUGGCGGUAGGCCUAACACAUGCAAGUCGAACGGCAGCACAGUAAGAGCUUGCUCUUACGGGUGGCGAGUGGCGGACGGGUGAGGAAUACAUCGGAAUCUACUUUUUCGUGGGGGAUAACGUAGGGAAACUUACGCUAAUACCGCAUACGACCUACGGGUGAAAGCAGGGGAUCUUCGGACCUUGCGCGAUUGAAUGAGCCGAUGUCGGAUUAGCUAGUUGGCGGGGUAAAGGCCCACCAAGGCGACGAUCCGUAGCUGGUCUGAGAGGAUGAUAGGCGACCCUGGAACUGAGACACGGUCCAGACUCCUACGGGAGGCAGCAGUGGGGAAUAUUGGACAAUGGGCGCAAGCCUGAUCCAGCCAUACCGCGUGGGUGAAGAAGGCCUUCGGGUUGUAAAGCCCUUUUGUUGGGAGAGAAAAGCAGCAGGUUAAUACCCCGCUGUUCUGACGGUACCCAAAGAAUAAGCACCGGCUAACUUCGUG
rnacentral:rRNA from 1 species